rnacentral:rRNA from 1 species
CUCCCGCAGCCGCCUCCCUCCCUCCCUCCCGCGCGCCUCCUAUCCUCCCACCCGCAUCGCCGCCGCCGCCACCCACCUCCUCGAACCGCGAUUGAACCCUAGCCGUCACUCCCCGCCAGCCAUCCUCCCUGCCCGUCCGCCGCCGCCACGCCAUCACCGCCACCUACCCGACGCGUUGUGGAGGAAGCGACCAGAGAGGGAGGGCGUCGCCGGCGUGUGCGCGUGCUUCCACGGGUUCUCGUCGCGGUCGCCGGAGCCGUGGUCAACCGCGUCGGGGAGGAUGGGCGCCACAUCGCGGUCCCCGAAUCCGUUGGCUGCGAGUCCGGGCGCGUCGGAUCCGGUGGCUGUUAGGAGGCAGCGCUCGGAGGAGGUCGGACGCAAGAGGCCAGCGCGGGGCAUGGAGGCAGCGCACGGAGCUCAGUUGCGGCGACGAGCUGUGCUACUGCCUUGGCUACAACCUCGUAGGUGAGCUCGUCCUCUCCUCUGCUGCUUUGUUUUUAUUAGUUUGCGGCUAUGUUCAUUUUCCAUGGACUAUAGAGUUCAUAAAACGUCUAUGGAGUACAAGCACGCAGCUCCAGCUCCUUUGAUUUGCAUCCAUGCAGUACAAACACUCAAUUCCUAUGUUUAGUACACCAAACAUGCACUUAGGUUCAGUAGUACUCCUAGGUUUUGUAAAUGCUCCUAAAUCCAGUUAGGUUCAGUAGUACUCCUAGGAGUAAAUGGGCAUCAAGAGAAUGAUUUGGCAUGUGUUUCAGUUAGGUUCAGUAAUACUCCUAGAUUUUGCAUGGUGUUCAGUUAGGUUCAUUUAUCCAAUAGCACAAGCAAAGCAUUUUCAGUCUAAUCUGCUUCCAAAGGACAUAAUCUUUACCCUGUAGGCUAGAUUGGGCUUAGAGCCACGUGGUAGCCAACUGCAUGUUGGAAACAGGAGCAAGAAUGGUCAACUUUAUGCUUUGAUCAACUAUGGUGUUUGGUGUUUUGGUUUAGUCCUAUGAACUUCUUAUAGUAUUUCUUCAUAUAUGGGACAUUAAGAAAUGUAUUAGCUGCACCUAUAUGCGCUCCCGCAAAACAAAACUGAACAAUUCCUCUAAUUUGGAAUUUGUAUUUGUUGUAUUCUCUAUCUGCUAUGCAAGCUACACGAUGCAACAAUUUUAGUUUUUUAUUCUUUUGUACUGUCAUGAACUCUGAUGGUUGUAUAGGGCAACUUUUUUCUUCACUCCAUAAUUCAGGAUGAACCAGGUGUCUUGGUCAUAUGGUUUAUUUCAGUCCACCUCAGGGAACAAAGUUGGUAUCUUUUGUCUGAAUUUACGGACAUCUUAUAGAAUAAAUUAUGCCAGAUUUGUUUCCUUCACUCCUCUUGUUAUGCCAGAUUUGUUUCCCUCACUCCUCUUGAUUUGUUCCAUUUCUUACAAUCUACUCUGCUAGGUUCAUCUCCAAUGGCAAAUCCAUAGCUUUGUGCUAAAGGUUCAGGCAGAUGGAAGCAUUAGCAAUUCCCUCGACGUAGCUCCCGAUUGGGCCUGAACCACAACCAGCUAAGGGGACAUUUCUACAGAUCGUUUCUAUCUGAUUUCCGACAUUUUCAGUUUUUGGAACACCCAGAAUGGAUAUAUUGAGUGUCCCUCUUGCUGCUAAACACAAUACAGUUGAGAUUAUGUCCCUACUGAGAUUCUUAAAGAACAUGGUACACCGGAAUAGCUUCAGAUCAAAGUAACUCAGCCGAUGGACCUUCUUAUCAUGAAACACCAUGGCAAUCGAGCUGUCGUCCGUCCAUCCCUCCCUCCUCGCGCCCGGAACCCUAGCUCGCGGCCAUGGCGACCGUGCAUGUUGCAGGCAGUGCAGGAUCUUCAGCACUACAAGUUGUGAUUUCUAUCACAUGUUUGUUUGAUACACAAGGUCCUUCCAUCAUGUACCCACCCACACAUGCAAAUGAAUUCGUUUGGUGGUUAUAUCUUGAGUGGCAUCUGAAUACACAAGCGUGACUAAUAGUAAGCGUGAGUGCUAGAGAAGUCCCCAUUUAGCAUGAUGGAGAGCAGGAUUGUCCCCAUUUAUAUUUGGUUCACACAGUUGUAGCUUCCUUUUUCUACGGGUUGCAAUGAUAUGGCUUGGUCGCGGCUUAGGUCAGACAGAGAUGAUCCAGUACUAAUUAAGCAUCAUUGAUAAAUAGCAAGAGGGGCAUGUGAGGAGCUCUGUCUUGCUUGUAAUAGCUAAACUAUUGUUACC